UCAGUUUAGUCUAUCAUUUCUUUUUUAUGUUAGUCCAAAUCGGUGAAAGCGGUGCCAGAUCGUGAGAAAUCGAUUUCAGCUCUGGGUUGGUCCGUGGUCUUCCACUUCCUGAUCUCCAUCUCUAUCUUAUUCUAUCUCAUCUGCUGGACGUGGCUGCCGGUGGCGGGGAGGACCUCUCCCUCCUAAGCCGCUGGAGGCACGGAGGUGCAGCUGGACGUGGCCCUCUCCCUCCCGAGGUGGCUGGAAGCAUGGACGAGGAGCUGGACACAGCCCUCUCCCUCCCGACUCCCGAGGCGGAUGGCGGCGCGGUGGAAAUGCUCGGUCCUCUCCUCUCCCCCGACGGCAUCUGUGCGCCUGCGUGUUUUUCGCCGGUGGUGGUGCUGGGCCGGCGCCGGCAGCAGAGGGAUGCAGAGUUUGUUGUCGCGGCCGAGACCGAGAGAUGGCGACAACGGGCGAACGGUGGAGUCUAGGCUGGGGUGAGCACAAAAAGGGGUCGAGUCUACGCGCUUGAGGACCACGACUACGGCCGCGCGACAUUGACUGUUGUGUAGGUCCAGCCAGGAACGCUGCAUUUGUGGGCGGCGCGGUGGCGCUCGGAUGGGUCUUGAUGCGCAGCAGCGCGGGUGCACCGGUGGGGGAUUUGAACCAUGGGAUUCGAGCCUAGACGCCCGCUGCAGAGUUGUUGAGGGUUGCCGUGUUCGGCCGCCUCCACGGUGAUGUAAUCCACCACAGGGAUCCUGUGGCUUACUUUUGACUUUGAGUACACCAUGUGUCGUCUUCUCCUUGGUGCUGCCGUUGCAUAUGAUGCUCAUGGGGCAGGUUCUUCUAUUGCAGGUUCUUGUGUUCUAGGUACGUGUCGCACGAAUCUGGCAAAGAGAAUGGCUAAACUUCUUUUCCCUUCUCUAUCUGUGAUUCAAUCUUUUCUCUUUUUGAAGUUUCUGAACUCUCUGAAAGUGUCCACUGUUUUUAACUGUUCAGUACGGUUCAGCUAAAUAGAUCCAAAAGGGGCGAAUGGUCAUGCGUUUCAGAAGGACAAGGAUCAAGAACAGGUACAUAAUGUUACUUUAGAAUGAUGUGUUGUACCUCCAAUAUAGGACAGCUUUAUAAAUUCAAGGUGCUAUUUCUUGUUUGUUUCAAAAGUACUUUUAUGCUUCAUGCAAAAAAAGGUGCUUACAACUUAGUGAUCGACUCAUGCCUUUUGAUGCAGCAUAACAAUAUUGAGUAUGGUACUGGAGAAACUUUGUCAUCGAAUAUGAUUUUCCAACUGCUAAAAAGAGAUGGUGUGUAUACCUAUUUAUUGUAGUGGUCGUCAAACUACUGAAGUUUUCCCUGAGGUGUAUUGCUGGUGCCAUUGAAUUUGUACCUCUUUCACUCUGUGUUUUGCUAUACUUGAUUUAUGCAAGCGAACUCUGUUCUGUUGGUUAGUCAAGGAUUUUAAGUAACACAUAAUAUUUCAUAUACCUUUUCCUUUGAAUUUUUUAUCUAUAGCUUCCCGUAUAUGUUUGGAAUUGCAAGAUGUUUGGCACUGUGAAAUAUGUAAUCGAAAGCUGGGCCAGGGCUUUGGUGAGCAGCAUUCUAUUUCCACAUCUUCUUCUCUUACACGUGGUUUUAUUUUGAUCUUAUGAUGUUACUUUACAGCGGUAAGACUUGAGGUCUUACCGCGACAAUGCCAAAUCAAAUAUGGGAGUGUCAUGUCAGAAAAAAAAAUUACAUGUCAUCUGUUCUGUUCUUUGUUAUUUCUACCGCUACAUGGUGUUGCCUCUGGUUCAAUGGAUUUCUUCAUGUGUGCAGUUUUAUACUGUACAUCCCAGCUAGGCACGAGCGAUCCAAAAGGUUUGAAACAUGAUAUUUUUGCCUGCAAAUUUCUGUGUUCGUUUGUCAUGUUGAUGAAAUCUAGACCUCAAAAUUAAAUCUCCUGUCCAUGGUUGUGCAUGCCUAAAACUAGGUUUUCUCAUGUCCAUGGUUGCUCUAGGGCUUAGGAGCAUUUGGUCUCAGGGUUUGCUUUCUUCCCAGGUUCAGUUGGAUUCACCUGUUCAAGCCACUCACAUCCCUGAAUUUGUUGGCAAGUUUCAGUGCCACUUAGAACUUAGGUUUGAUUUAUUUUUGUUUACAUCUUCUUGACUUUGUUGUUUAUAUCUAUAUAAUUUAUACUGAUGUAUGUCAUGUUUUCUAGCUGCUACAAACUUGCUUGCAGAAGAUAUCUGCUGCAGAAAAUAAAGGAUCACAUGUGUGACACCUACCUUAUAACUAUGCCCGACAAAUUGAGAUUGCCUUGAGUUCAUCAUUCGGGCUUUUCACUUUCAAGGCUACAAAUGGAGUUAUUCAUAUUCCUACUCUUUCCAGGUUAUCUCAAUUCAGUUAAGCCAUAAAAAAUUGUGAUUUGUUACUAUCCAUUUUGACAAACGAUUUUCAGUAACUGGAUAUUGCACUAAUUUCUAUUAGUUUACUAUUUUGCAUCUCUAAAUCUACAGAUGCUAAAGCUUCCCAAGGGAAGUUCAACAUGUUCUAUAAAGUGGCCUGUAAGGCUCUUCCUUUUUUAGAUCACAUAUACUAUAAUACUUGAUUGUUGAUGUGUCAGCCUGGAAUAGAAGGAUGCUACAGGUUUCUGAUUUUAAUCUUCUGAUUGUCAAACCAAGGAGCAAAGAAGGAAAUCUAUUGUGUCAUACUUUGGGCGCUAAAUUGGUGCCAUAAUCUUAUGAGGAAUGAAUUGUAGUUCAAAUAUGUAAACAGUGGCCAAGGUAAUGUGAAACUCUUCUGACGGUGAUGUGAUCUUAGAGACAAAAUAGUUCCAGCUGCUUCAAACAUGUAAUCUGAAUUGUUUUUUCCAUAUGCUGGUGGAUCGAUCGGGUUGCUUCUCUUCAACCAUGCCAUUAUGAGUGGUAAAUUUACAUCAAUGAGUCUAGAACUGACAUAUGAAGUCAAAGACAUAUUAGUCUUGACCACUUCGUUUAAGUAGAACAAAGUUCUUACCAUAUCAAGCUAUGCUCUGUUUAUAUGGUAUCCAUGCUCCUAAAGAACUAGAUCUUGAUUAGCAGCAGAGUCCCAUCGCUGGGCAUGCUGGAAGAAUGAAGCUUCGGUUUAUUCAUACUGGUUCGUUAUUUAGGUCGUGCAAAUCCAUUAUUAGGACACAUGCUUGACCAACUUAUAUGAAUUGCCUUCCACUGUUUCAAUUUAGUUAUACACGCCUAUACUAUGUUUAGUAUCACCAAUGCAUCAUUGUAUUUCAAUUCACUUAUAUGUGUACACUGCUGCACCCAAUGGAUAUGCUCAUUCGUGAUGAAAAUACAUCGAUUAUAUAGUUGCGUCUAUUUUUUUCUAAUAAUAUUUGAAAUUCAGUCGACCACUUGAAUACAAAUUCGUGAAGCCUGUCUUCCGAAGUUGUGAUUUGCUACAAGAGAGCAAGUUUGACUCGCGAACGAUCAGCAAGUAAAGGACCGAUCCCUUAACGCCGGUGUUAUUGCGAGACUGGAACGGCUAAACUGAGAAGUGCUUUUAGUGUUGUUGCUGGACUGGCACGGGUAAACGGAGAAGUGCUUUUGUUGAUAGCUGGAUCCUUUCAAAGCUGGUGGUUGAUUUUUGUUUCUGUUGUAUUUUUUGAAGAUGAAAUUCUGAUUGUAAAGACAUCUACUCCAUCUGAAUCAAUACAUAGAUAGUGUUUUUUUUCGUUCGGUGUAAGUGACAUUAAUCUUGUAUGUUUACACGGUAACUAAUAGAAAAACUUAGCA